rnacentral:sRNA from 1 species
GACGGUCACGCUCUCCGGGGCACAUCCCCCC